GAGUCCUCCUUGUUGCCUAACUUCUCUAGUGGUGUGGAUCUAAUUGAAACCAUUCUGAGCAAGGUAACCCAGUCAGAAAGAUUUUCAACAAAAUCAUAGAAGAAAAUUCCACCAAUCUAAAUUGCCCUGGGUAUCCAGGAUCCCAGUUUAUCUCCCAUCCUUUUUCAGGAUGAGCACAAAACCACACCCUGCAUUGACACCCCUCAGUUAGGAAAACCCCUUAACCAGAAACAGUUGGUUAUUGCUCCAGCCAAAAUGCAAGGUUAGUACAUUUAAGGACUUUCCCAGAAGUGUGAACUUUGAUGUAUUCGGUCUUUGUUUUUAUUUUGUCAAGUGGUGCUACAGUGUUUUGAGUUUUAUGGCCUGAGUGAUAUCUCCAUCAUGGUAUCAGUUCUGCUAAGGUCUGGGUGCCUGCUACCCUUGCACAGUGAAUUCUCUAUAUGUGCACAUAUAUAAAUAUAACCUGCUGAGUCUGUUUUUGUUGUUCAUAAGUGUAUUAUUUCAGGGAUAAGCACUUUGUAUUAGAUAGCCAGUUAGUGGGCUUAUCCCUGAGAGAGGCUAAUUGCACUCUCUAAGCAGUCAUUUGUUACCUGUAGUUCUUUGUCUAGGGGCAGGACCCCACGACAUUUUCCUUCUUCUGUAUUAACUUAGGUUUUGAUAUUACCAUUGUUCUGGUCUUAUUGAUGCAGCCAUUUCUAAGACAGACUGCCACACCAGACUUCCCAGUACUCUGGCUUUUCUAAUAUCUCUAUUUUUCAGAGAUAUUUCUGAGCUAUAGAUGCAGGAGGUCUGAUGUAGAUUUAUUAAUGGUGCUGAGCUCCCCACAAUCUUUUGAUUGCUGUAUUAUGACUAGUUGUGGCUUUCUGUGAUAGUCUACAUGUGCUGUAAAAAGAAGCUUCUUAGAUGAGGGGUAAUAACGUCACUUACCUGUGGGUAUAAGGAUAAGAUUAAUUUAUAUUUACCUAAAAUUACAUACAAUAUCUAUAAGACAAUAUAGCCAUAUGAUAUACAUAAAUAAUAUAUGAAUCUAAAGGAAAUUGUGCCUCUUAGGCUGACAGUGCUCCCCACAAGAACCACAGCUAACAUUACCAGGCACAGGAAAAUUCACUUUGCUUGGUCAGGGGAGUUCAGUUGACUCUCAAGACAAUAUAGACUGUUGCUGUUGCUCUUGCUGAAGACACCACCACACAGUAAACACAAGGGGCUCAGAUUAUUUGAGCUUAAUCUAACCUGAAAGCCACCUUCCUGCUUUCUAUCUUCCAUAGUACCAUGAAAUACUGUGCAAGUGGCCAUGAGAAGGGAGCAAUUGAUAGUCCUGACCAGCUGUGACAUCUGUGAACCACAACAGCAUGAUUCAGAGGGACAGAAAUAAUGGAGGGAAGAACACCUUCUAUGUGGUUUUCACUAAGAAUUUCAACCUUGAUUGAGGCCGUGAGGACUCACCCCAAAAUCCUAGAAAAUCAUCGUCAGGAAAAUAAAAGCUAUGUUCCUCUGCUGGUGCCUUGGGAUCUCUACAUGGUUUAUAAUCUAUCCUCAUCCAUCAGGAAGGACUGUGAUUAGAACUCUUGGAAAAUUUGAGAUGAGUUAAAGUUUCAAAGUAGAGAUCUUCUUACAAGGAGAUAAAAGUCCCUUCCAGUUAAGUGUGCAUUUAAAGGUUGCAAAGUCUCCAGCUUCCAUUACCAUUACAGAGGCAUUUGAUGGAGACAGAAUUACCAUCAUCUGACCCUUCCACUUCUCUGAGGAGACCUGCAGAGGAAUGAAUACCAGUGUUCUCCCUCAACUCACAAAUUCAUGCUGUGGGCAGAUUUGGCACCCAGGUUUUAUGAAGGCAAGACUGUGGCACUGACUGCAUUUGUAUAAAGCCAGUGCUUUGCUGAAGGCAGCGAGUCUGUUGGAAAAUGUUAGAAGACUAACAGCACCUAUAAUGCAUUGUCAGAGGGUUAGAGAUCAUAAGGGUGGAGACAGCCACAGCAGACAUGGCACCUGGAACUGGAAGCCGAGAGCUACCAUGUCAAACCACAAACAGGCAAUCUUUAACUGGCAAUGGUAACCAUGACUGAUGUCCAGCUGGCAUAAAAACUAACAAGUAUACCCUGGGCCAAAGAAGCAUGAUGUGUGUGUGCCUCUGAGUGAGACUGCAUUUUAUACUAUAAUGAAAAAAAAAGUUGCAAUCAUUGGAAAUAGAUUAGUUGCUCUGCUCCAGAAUGCAUGACUAAAGAGAAUAGGUACAGAGGGAAGUCAGAUAAUAGGUGACCAGGAUUCUGUCAGGAGAAAUGUGUCCCAUAGUACAGUAUGGUGAUGAUAGUUUGUAACAACUCAUCUUUAUGCAGAAGUAGAAGGAGUCCAAAGGCUCCAAACAGGAAGAAAUAAUAAGCAUCUGCAACCUCUAAUUAUCUUGAUUUGAUCAUUACAUCUUGCAGACGUGAACUAAAUUUCCAUGGUUUAUACUGUAGAGGUGUACAAUUAUUAUGUGUUGGGCAAGAAGAGAAAAUGAAAUUGCAAGUGGAAUGGCAGAUAACACUGGGGACAAAAAAAAUGGCAAAUGUCAGAUAAUAUAAUUAGAAAAGACACCUGGAGGACAACAAACAAGGAAGAUGUUUAAAACACUGAGAGAUCACCUGAAAGAAAAGAAAAAAAGAUAAAAAAAAACAAUAGAGACAAGGAAGAGAAAAUUAGGAAGGCAGCAAUCUCACAGGAGAGAUGGGGUAGAGACUGGGGAAAGGAAGGAAGGAAGCACCCCCAGUGCAAUCAGGUGCCUCAUUGUCUCUUGUUUAGCUGGGAGGUUGGAGAUGGGAAGAUGCAAGACUCUAUGGAAAUGAUCUCCAGCCCUUGGGCACAUGCUAAUUACUGCCCAUAGGGAGCCUCUGUGUUUGUUUCCUACUAAUAUAGAACAAGAUGCGAAGAUAGCAAGAGCAAUGUUCCCAGGAUCAGGGAAGUCAACCUGUAUUACUAAUGUUUGCUUGUAACUUUUUAGGUUUUUGUUGUUGUUGGGGCUUUUGUUUGUUUGCUUGUUUGUUUUUUUUUUCCAAAUGGGAUUUGAUUUUCUCCUGAACUGUUUUAAAAAAAGAUUUAAAGAAACAAAAUAUCUUCAAUGGAAUGUAAUUUUUGUAAAUAGCCAAAGACCAGAUUUUCUAUUUUUCCUUAGUCUCAGUCAGCAGGUACUGUGAACCAACUAUGCGGAGAUCCUUUAACAAGUAUUUCAGAAGACUUUCAGUUAACUUCAUAAUGCUAGAAGAUGGAAAUCUCAGAGUGCUUGAAGGACUGCAGUGAAGUUCCCAGUGCGCAGUCUCACUCAAGAGCAUCUUCGAAACACUAGUCUCAAAGAAAUCUUUGAUGUUAUGUGCCUGGAUAACCUAAGAACUGACCUGGGACCAAAGCCACAGGAGUCUAUACUGUGGAGAGGGAGUGCUUGUGGCUGCUAUCUAUGAAGUCCAACCUUACACUCAUGAACCACUAAUCUACCAAGGAAAUGGCGAAGAAAUUUAAAGAAAGACAGUGUGAAGAAGGAAGGGAAUGAUUCUCUCUGGAGGUGAUGCAUCAUCCGCCUGCUCUGCAUAAAUGAGAAGAAGCCAAGAACCAGGAUGCUGUUACUUCUUUCCACAGUGUAUGAGCUCCUAGAACAGUACCUACAGCUACCACAGAUGCCACCAUGUAUUGGAUAAGUGAGUGCCUGAAUCAAACCAUGAAUAAAGUUCAAUAAAAAAAAAUACAGCACAUGAUCCCUGACUUUCAUACCCCAUUUUGAUGGACUGCACCCUACUGAAGGUUGGAUACAUUGAUACACCUUCUUAAAAGGGAGAAGAAUGGCCAGCCUGACUCUCUCUGACAGAUCAACCAUGGCAUGUCUACUCUGAUGGAAAAUUCUUCUCCCUAAAGGCUUUGCCUCUCCUGCAGAGAAGGCUCAUGAGCAAAUGCUGUCAUCAGCAGCCAUGCAUUGGUGAAGACACACAGUGGAAGAUCCCAGGCUUUGUUCCAACUCAGAGAUUUUAGCAGAAACCCAAGAAGACUCUUUAGAAUAUUGACUAUCAACAAAAACAACAACCUUCCCCUACAUCCUGAGGCUGCCCGUGUCGUUGUGGUUUUAUUAUUUGUUCGUGGUUCUCUAUUGAAGAACAACUGAUUUGUCUCUUGUAUUUUCAAGGAUACAUCCAUGUGAAAGGGAUUUUAAAGCUACAGCAUGGGAUUUUACAUCUUUUUUUACACAGCCUGUUUCAUACCUCUUGGUUUAAAGUGAUCAAAAGAAGCCUUUCCUGUAACUGGGACAAUAGGCAUAUCAAGCUUCCUGAUGUAAAUAUUUUUCUUUUGCCUUUUAUAUACACAGAAACACUAAUUUACAAAAUUACUCAACAUUAUAAUGAAUGAAUCCAAUACUAUAUGUUACAUAUUCAAUACCAACCAUAUGAGGAACAUUAAUAUUUGUGUUUUUAAAUGCAUAAAACAAUAAGCUGUGGCAAUAACCCUAUUUUCUGCCUGAGAAUCCCAAAAUUAAGAUAAUGUUUGUAUUUGACCAUGUAGUGAAUUCUCCAUGAAAAUGGCAGCAAUUAGAACAGUAAAACUAUUGAACAUGAGUGAAUGAUGCACCCAGGGAAAUUGUUUUGAGGCUGUGGUAAUUUAUGCAUACCAAUUCCUUUUCAGUAAUUAAGGAAGGGUUUAGGAGAAAGGAAAUUUUGUAGACCAAAUAUAAGAAUCAGGAAGACAGGUACCAUGAAACUAUUGAUAUGCUGCCAUCAGUCUGAGUAGCUGUUUAACUAAAGGGCGAUUAUUUUAAAGUUGUUAGUAUAUACCUUAAUUUAGUAUCAUUUUUUGAUACUAAAACAUAUAAAUGCUUAUUCAUUAACCUUUUAAGAUGUGGCCAAGAACACGGGUUCCACUGCUGAAUCAAACACCUCUUUCUGCUUUCUGCUUUGUGUGUGUAUGAUGCAUUUAUAUGUAUUAGUGUACACAUGUGAGUAUAUACAUGUGUACAUACACAUGUAUGUGUGUGUAGGCCAGAAGUCAGAGUCAGUUGCCUUUCUUUGUGAAUCUAUGGCCCAUUUAUUUUUUGAGGCAGGAUCUCUCACUGAACCUGUGACAGAUUGACUUGGCAUUACAAGCUAGCUGGCCAGCUCCAGUUUUCCACCAGUUUCUGCCUCCUCGGCACUACAAGAUCAUGGGGGCCCACUAGGCCCACCUUUUUACCUGGCACUGGGUAUCCAAACUUAGGUCCUCAUUCUUACCGAGAAAAUAUUUUACUGAUUACCCUAUCUCCUUAGUUCCUUCCAUUCUCUUCCUUGUACAAGCGAUAUUAUAACACGUUAUUUACAUUUCCAGUUGGAAUCUCACUUGAGUGAAAACACUAAUGAAGGAAUCUGGAAACAUAAGUGUUUGAACUUCUUACAAUAUUUUGUCAUCAUCUUGAAUAUAAUUUAAAACAUUUUAAAUUGACUCUAUAAAAUGUUCAAAACAAAUAACUGCUUUCUCAGUCACAUCUCAUUUCUUUAUAUAAUGCUCACUUAGAUAACUAUAGUGACAAGUACAACUGGAUUUCACAGAUAAGGAAACUGAUUUUUCAGGCAAAACGAGUCAGUGCUAGAAAGACAAAUACAGCAUGUUUUCUUUCAUAUAUAGUAUCUAGAUUUAACAACAACAGAAAGGCACAGAAGUAGAUUGUUUAAAAAGAGGAAGGGACAAGCAAGAUAGGAAAUGGACGGUAAUGAAGUAGGGGAGGAUAACUAUAACUAAGGUACUUUACAUACACAUGUAUGGAAAUAUCGUAAUAGCACUCAUUAUUUAGUAAGAUUAAUAUAUCCUAAUGAGAAUGAAUGGACUAAAAGUGGGAUGGGAAUAAGAUGUCUGACCUUAUUGGCUGUGUGGGACUCAAACAUAAACAGUUAGCAGAGAAAUGUUUGCUUGUGUAUGUACACAUACUAGGGAAUGCAACCAUGAGAGCAUAACAAUUAUGAAAGGGUGUACACCUUG